CUAGAGUCAUGUGGUGGACGUAAUCUUUAGAGGCUCCUCAUCAUGUGACACAUAUCCAGUCACAUGUCAUCAAACCAGGAAGUUGUUCUCACAUCCUGUAGGACUGUUUGGUCUACAUGUGUUCACAUGGUUCCCCCAAAAAAGUCUUGCACAGACGCCGUGACCUUCGCCAGGUUCCAAGUGAGUCUGACAAAGCGGGAGGAGGAAGUGGAGCGCUAGGAAAUGCAAACCUUCCCUGAAGGCAGCCUUAGAGGAAGCAGCCUCAGCCGCGACGAACGUUGAUGAAGUCGUUCUCGCCUUCAUCGCCGUGUUGGAUUCAAGUGAAGGAUGAGCAGGAAGCGUUGCAGCCCCAUUCCUGACUCGUGGCCCCACAACCUUGGAACUCGUCACCACUGGAGAUCAGGUCGUCCUCAGAUCGUUGUUUUUAAAUCUAAAGUAAAAACUCACCUAUUUACACUGGCAUUCAGCUCAUGAGACACUUUGACCCUUGUUUAUUUUAAUGAGUUAUUUUAAUAUACAGUAUGUGUAUUUUGACUCAUUGUUUUAUUAAUUUCAAUAAUGUAACUGUAUUUUGUUCAGUGCCUUGGUCAAUUGUGUUGUUAUCUAGCAUUAUAUAAAUAAACACUGAUUGAUUGAAAA